CAAACGCUGGCGCAAGGCGCGGAGCUCCGGCCGGUGUGGUCAGGUAGGGGCUGAAAGUGGCUGAUGCUUUCCGUACGCUUCUACCCUACACGGUGACUCGGCUAGCAUAGGUGUCGCCGUUCAGGGCGCCCCUUUGACUGAGAGCCCGUGACGCGUAGCGGUGGAACUCCGGCCGCCUGCUUCUGGAGUCUGGGGAAUGUGAGGAGUCCAAAGGGACCACAUGUGAUGUCUCUGUAUCUCCAGCAUCAGGCAGUGAAGUGACAUUUGUGAACAUAUGAACACGGACUCAGAGUUGCUGAUUUCUAAGGACUCUGCCAAGUCUAAAACUGGUCUUGAUCUGUUGCUCAGGCUAGAGUGCAGUGGCAUCAUCAUAGCUCCCUGCAAGCUCAAACUCCUGGGCUCAAGCAGUCCUCCUGUCUCAGCCUUCCAAGCAGCUGGGACUACAGGCUCCCUGUCCUCCCCUGGUGAUUUCUUCAAUAUCUUCCUCAACCCCACCUGUUUGUUCAACAUCCUCUUCCUGGGUUCAACUACUGACUUGCUGAUGGCUCCCACGUCUCUGGACGUCUCCUCUUUGCAUCUCAGCAUGUCUGACAUGGGCUCAUCUCACCCUCCUGGACUCCACACGUCCUUGAGAAGUUUUGCCCUCUGCCCAACAUCCCAGUGGGAAGCCUCAGCACUCCAUGGGACUCCACCCUCUUCUUAACUUACUCUUAGUGUUGUUGAGUCCACCUCAGGCACAGCUCUGAAGUCUGUCCCCAUCUGCCUAGACCCAACAUAUCCUUGCUAUUCCAGGCACCUCUUUGUUCUGGGGCUGCCAGUCAGAGGCAAAUAAUCCACAGAAUUUUUGCCAAGGCAAAAGGAUAGAUUGAGCCCAGAGAUGGACCUGCCUGGGCAACAUAGCAAGACCCAGUCUCUAAAAAAAUCGGAGGCAAAUAAUCGCUCAGAGAAAGCUAGCAGGCUUCAGAGUCAAUCCCUCUUCCAUGGUGCUCACGAAGGCAUUGCACCUCCUUGGCUGCACGGAUUCCUUGGAUUUCUCAGUUCUUCUCUAGAGCCCUAACACUCAUGAAAGCCCAGCCAGUGAACUAGGAUCUGUUCUUUUUUGUUCCCACUAGUUCUGAACUCCUGGGCUCUGAUCUCUCUGGAUCUACUUUUCCUUGGGUGCUUUGAGCCUUAGGGCAGUGGUUGUCAACCUUGGCUGCAUGUUGGAAUCAGGGGAGUUUAAAGAGUCACUGCUGCUGGGCACCACCCAGACUAGUUAGGUUAUGUCAUUCUCUUUGGAGGCAGGGCUUGGCUUUGGUAUUUUGUCAAGGCUCCCUUGGGUGAUCUCAGUGUUCAACCAUGGUUGAGAACUACAGUUUAGAGCAUAUAGUUCCACUCUCUGGGCCUAGAUCUUCAGGGUUUUACCCACUCUCCAGCUCUCCCGACUGGCCCUUUGAAGUUCUCCAGGAAUAACUUAAUUUGGGAUGCCUCUACCAUGUUCUUAGCUGUCUCUCAUCCAACAAUUGAUACAUCUACUCUGGGCCUGGGAUUGAGAAACAAAUGUCACUACAUGCUUACAGUGGGCAUCUGUUGUUUUGGCCACCACCCAGUAUUUUAUUUACUUGAUUUUCCUCCGGAUGUCUGCCCCAGUCGUACACCCUGCCUGUACCCUCUGUGGGAAGGUGCUCCAUGCCUCAUCCCAGGGCUGCACAUGACCAGACUGAGUCAAUCAAGGCAUCCCUUUCCCCCAGUCACUGCCAUGAGCUCAGGAAUGGGCUUGUGCCCCAAGGUAGGUCAGUCAGACAAAGCAACACUCUAUUCUGAGACUUUGGUUUGACCUACUUAGGAAUUUCCUAGACUUACUGUGAGAGUAAAGUCCAGAAGAGAGCUUAGCUGAGCAUGGAGCCCACACAGAACAAGAAUAAUCCAGGGAGGACCCUGCGCUUGAAGACCUCAGUCUAGUGGAGGAGACUCACCUGUUGAUACAACCAAGAGGAACAGCGAGGGUGCUAAGCAGCAGUGCGACCUGGAUGCGGAUGGGGCCCUGGCGGUUGGCUGGGCUUCUUAUGUGGUCAUUUCUGGUUUUGCCUCUUACAGUUGAAUUCUCCUCAGGGAUAGCCAGCAGGUUCAAGGUCUCUCCUCAAGACUACUGGGUUUGGUUGUCCUCACUCAGCAGCUGUGCUUCCCAAGUCCCUGUACUGCAGAGGCUCCCACCUUCCUGGGGGAAUGUCUCACUCAGAUCUUCCUAGCAAGCUUCUCCUGCUUCCAGUUUCUGUCAUUUAAGAACAUUCUCCUUACACCCUCCUACUUCAAAACCUGCACGAGCUCCCUGUGGCUCUCAGAAUCAGAUCCGAACUCCUUAACGUGACCCCCAAGGUCUUCCACAGUGUGGCCCCAUUUCCCUUUUGUCCCCAGCCACUUCCUGCCACACACUUGGAGCCAACCACAUGGACACUCUUGUUAUUCCCUGAGUCAUGCCCUUUGAUGCUCCUGUGCCUUAGCCUGUGCUGGUCUAUUUGCUGGAAAUGGCCUUCCCUCUGCAAGUCCUGUAGGACCCAGAUCACAUGUUCCCUUUUUGAAACUUUGUACAGGCAGAGUCAGCAUCUAGUACUUCAUUCACACCUUGGUUACAUUAUAUUUUGCUCAUUGUUUGAGGACACAGACUGACUCAGAUAGGUGCUCACUUAAGAUUAAAUAAAUGGGCUGGGCAUGGUAGCUCACACCUGUAAUCUCAACACUUUGGGAGGGUGAGGUAGGAGGAUCACUUGAGACCAGCAACAUAGCAAGACUCCAUCUCUAAAAAAAAAAAAAAUUUUAAACAUGGAUGAGUGGUAUCAAAAUCACUGGAGGUAUCUGGGACAGACAGACUUAGGAAAGCCCAGGAUGGGGAAGGCAGAGAACAGCAGGGACUACUAGAAAUUGUUUAUAGCUCACCUUUCUGAGAGAAGGUCCUUGACUAGAUUGGAAAUAGAAGGGACUGGAGCUGAAGUCCCAUAUUGACCUUGGGUCAACUUAAAGAGACAGCCCCUCGGGUGCCAUGCAGAGGGAUCCUGUGGCUUGGAGAGCUCUGGAUAAGGCCUGGUCUGGCAAGAAGUGCAUGAAUUGUUUCCAUGGCGGUGCAGAGUUUCAGAACCUUCAGAUUGACUCUGCUAAAUUGUAAAAUGUUGGUUACAUUAGUACCAUUACUACUGUAUUCAAUCACAAUAAAAGAAUAAAAAUUUUGCCCUAGUUCCACCAUUAACAGCCAGCAAUAAAAACAUCUAUAAUAUAUUGAGAAUGUAUUAUACCAGGGAAGGAGCUAAGCAUUAUAUCACAGGUAUCAUCUCUUUUUAACAGUCUCCACUUUACGGAUGGGAGAACUGAGGGUAAGACAGGCUAAAAACUUGCCUAAGGUCACAGCAGCAGUCAGUGGUAGAGUCAGGGGCUUAAGGCAGGUCUGUCUGACUCCAACACUUGUGAUUUUACCCUGCAUUUCCUUGUCGCAACCCUAACGGCCUGCAGGAAGGAACCAGGCGUGACACAGAUUAGAAGUACAAGCUUGCGGGAGGCAGGCUAACUUUAAUUGCGGGGUAGCCCUGCAAUUAGCUGUUGCGAGCCCCCUCCGAAGGUUAUACACGACAGGUGUGGAGAGUUAAGGUAAUUAGGUACGAGGGCUGCAUGCAUAAGGAUUGCUGCGUGCUCUCCUCACGUGCUCUUUCCUAGCGUGUUCCUUCCCCAUAACCCUCAUGAAGAACUACGAAGCAUUAGUGUUUAACACAUGCUUACUAGGGACUGAUAUUAUCUCAUUCCAACAUUGAGUGACUUGGGGGAUUUUCCCUAAGUCACAAAACAUCUCUAGGCUUGCCAGGAGACUGUCCUGUUUUCAGCGUUUCCUUUUAAUGUGAUAAGAAUCAGUAACUGUCCUUUGCAAGCAUGGUGUCCAUUCCUCUACAUUUCCUAACAGAUCAAACUUGUCCAUAUGCACUAUUAACCUUUAAGUGAUUACAUCACAGCUAUGAUUUGCAGGGGUCCUCAAACUACAACCCGCGGGCCACAUGAGGCAGUGUGAUUGUAUUUGUUCCCGUUUUGUUUUUUUACUUCAAAAUAAGAUGUGCAGUGUGCAUAGGAAUUUGUUCAUGGUUUUUUUUUAAACUAUAGUCUGGCCCUCCAACGGUCUGAGGGACAGUAAACUGACCCCCUGUUUAAAAAGUUUGAGGACCCCUGAUUUGAGUUUUCACAAACUUCACAUCACAUCCCCAUGCACGUCCAAGCCAUCUCCAUGUCCUGCUGCGUCUGCCUCCCAGAAUCUAUUCCCUCACUCACAGCCCACUUCCCUUCACUUUACCCUUAUCUUGUGUC